UAGAACCUACGGGACGCAGCAGUGGGGAAUAUUGCACAAUGGGGGAAACCCUGAUGCAGCGACGCCGCGUGAGCGAUGAAGUAUUUCGGUAUGUAAAGCUCUAUCAGCAGGGAAGAAAAUGACGGUACCUGACUAAGAAGCCCCGGCUAACUACGUGCCAGCGGCCGCGGUAAUACGUAGGGGGCAGGCGUUGUCCGGAUUUACUGGGUGUAAAGGGAGCGUAGACGGUCCUGCAAGCCAGAUGUGAAAGCCCGGGGCUCAACCCCGGGACUGCAUUUGGAACUGUAAGGCUAGAGUGUCGGAGG
rnacentral:rRNA from 1 species